ACUUGUGUUGGAUCUCAACACAAGUACUUGUGUGAAAAUUAUUCUACACAAGUUAUGUGUUGUUUUGCAUUGCAUUAACACAAACUUGUGUUCUUUUUAAUGCAUUAACACAAAUCUUGUGUUUUUUCCAUAUAAUUAACACAAGUAAUGUGUACCGUCAACAAAUAUUUUUUUUUUUAAAUUUGAACUCCAUACAAAGUCUUAAUCCGGGGGUCCACAAGUAAGAGAAAGGUAUUUUUUACUCAGACAAUAUAGCCAGACAGACUUGAAUGCUAAUUGGUGUUAAGAUGUCUGUAGUUGAAAUAAAGUUGGGCCCAAUAAACUGGUAGAUCAAAGGCCUGUUGAGCGCUCAUGCCCGGUGUGAUUUUAACAAUUGACUCCAAAUGCGUUGACAAGAAAAUAAGUAAAACUGUUAUUGAAUGUGAUUGGUUGAUAAAAUCAACGUACUAUAGGCUACAUUUUGUCUGCGAUAUCAUCUCGGUGGAAGCGGACAUUAAAUGAAGUGAUUCCACACAAUUAAUCUUGUGUUUUUUCCAUAUAAUUAACACAAGUAAUGUGUACCGUCAACAAAUAUUUUUUUUUUAAAAUUUGAACUCCAUACAAAGUCUUAAUCCGGGGGUCCACAAGUAAGAGAAAGGUAUUUUUUACUCAGACAAUAUAGCCAGACAGACUUGAAUGCUAAUUGGUGUUAAGAUGUCUGUAGUUAAAAUAAAGUUGGGCCCAAUAAACUGGUAGAUCAAAGGCCUGUUGAGCGCUCAUGCCCGGUGUGAUUUUAACAAUUGACUCCAAAUGCGUUGACAAGAAAAUAAGUAAAACUGUUAUUGAAUGUGAUUGGUUGAUAAAAUCAACGUACUAUAGGCUACAUUUUGUCUGCGAUAUCAUCUUGGUGGAAGCGGACAUUAAAUGAAGUGAUUUCACACAAUUAAUUUAACAUUUAACAACGUGCUGAAAUGAUUUUGGAGCAGUGAUAUGUUUGACAAAUGUAAGCUAAUGGUCACAUAGAAUACAAGACCGCAGACGGAAGAUAUGGACGAACAACAAGAAGAAGUUAUGGAGGUCCCAACAACUGAACCUAUGGAAGUAGAAGAAUCGUUUACAGCCGAAACCCGAUACGAUGUGCCAGUUCCGGUCAUGGAGUCCUCCAUCUCAGACGAUGCCGACGAUAGUGUCUUCUGCGACGAAGAACCCGUAGUGGUGUAUACGCAGGUAGAAGCUGGUACCUCCCGUGGCAAGUCCAAGUUGUUUGACAACCAAGGGUUUAGUUAUACAAUUAAGACAGAGAAGAAAACUACGAUUUGGAGGUGUUCCAAAAGAAGCGGACCAACACGAUGUCCGGCAGCAGUAAUCCAAGAUGGUGAUACAUACCAACCAGGCUUAAAGAACCAUCUUCACCCAGCAGAACCCGGUAUACACACGGCUACCAAGAUAAAAGUUACAGCAAAGCAUGAAGCCAAAGGAAAUGUUUUUACCAAGUCAUGUUCCUCAAUAGCGGAGAGAGUUUUAUCCAGUGUCGGUUCUGCAGAAGAACCCAUUCAUAGCAGACCACCCAUGGCAGCACUUGUAAGGUCUUCUAUUAAUGUGUUUUCCAAUCGCUAAAUGCCACUUAAAGAUUAUGUACAACGUCAAUAUGGGGAUGUGGCAGUUAAGUGUGUUCGUCAGAUCAGUAAACUUGAAGAUAAAUAUAUAAGAGUGAGUAAUAAUUUAACUUUUCUCAUGAGAUGCAGAGACGGUGACAUUGUGCCACAAGGGU